rnacentral:rRNA from 1 species
GAUGAACGCUGGCGGCGUGCCUAAUACAUGCAAGUCGAGCGAACAGACGAUGAUCUUGCUCGGCUCACGUUUGGCGCGGACGGGUGAGUAACAUGUGUAUAACCUACCUAUAAUUCUGGGAUAAUUUCGGGAAACCGGAUAUAAUACGGGAUAAGAUAUUGAACCGUAUGGUUCAUUAGUGAAAGACGGUUUUGCUGGCACGUCUAGAUGCAUCCCAGCCGCUUUGGCUAGUUGGUAAGGUAACGGGCUACCAAGGGUACCAUGCGUGUCCGACGUGAGGGGGUGGUCGGCCGCACUGGAACUGGGACACGGUCCAGACUCCUGCGGGAGGCCGCAGUAGGGAAUGUUCCGCAGUGGGCGGGAGCCUGACGGAGCGACGCCAAGUGAGUUGUGACGGUCUUCGGUUCGUAAAACUCUGUUAUUAGGGAUGAACCACUGUCUAAUGAGAUAUGGCCGUCUUGACGGUACCUAAUCAGAAAGCAACGGCUAACUACGUG